GUUGUGCCGUUUGGAAACCAAAGGGGACUGGGGGCUCAUAUGGGUGUUAGAGAGAAAAGAUGGGUUGCCACAGAGAGAGAGAGACAGAAGUAAAGAGAAGCAAAAGUAUUUGAAGCGGCAAGCAUAUGUGGAUACAAAAACCAUAAUGAGGGGAUCAUGAUUUAUCUCAACAAUUAUAUAGUUUUCAAUCUGAAUUGCUGUAACAGUUGCUGCUCGUACUUUCUUCUCUCUUUCUCCUUCUCUCUCGAGAACUCUCUCUCUCUCUCUCUCUCUCUCUCUCUCUCCUGCAUAAGCGCCAUCCUCUGGGCCUUGUGAUGAUGCUCUGGCAGCGCUGAAGGAUGGAGGGGUAUACAGGGAAAGAAGAGCAUCAAAGGGGUCAUCUUGGUCACUGAAGAGUUGUGCGACUGCUAACUGACUGAAUCGAAGAGGUUUUGUUUUACUCUCUCUGCUUGGAAGAUUCUUCUUUUCCUCUUUGGUGAAAGAGGGCAAAGAUGUGUAGGAGAGAAGAUUUUGUCCUACAAGCAGGACAGAGUAUGAUCCCUAAGCAGUUGGAGGUUCCCAUGCAUCCCUUGGUGUCCAUAUUAUCUGAAAACUUUGACCGGUGUUACAAGAAUUCCAGUGUCCUAUUAUGCAGGCAGCCGAUACUUCAUCUACACUUAAUAGAGGAGAAGCAACUGAAAGCCAAGUCAAGAAAGGAAAUCAAAGAUUGUGCUACCACACCUAGUUCCCUUGGGUCUUUGAUUUCCCUUGAGUCGGGAAUUUUGAUUUCUUUUUAAUAUUUGGUUGUGUUCAAAAUAUUGUAAUGGAAUGUUGAUUGUUGCAGAAUGCUUUUUGGUUUAUGGCCAAGUUUCUUUCAUUCUCUCUA